UUGAACGCUGGCGGCAGGCCUAACACAUGCAAGUCGAACGGUAACAGGAAGCAGCUUGCUGCUUCGCUGACGAGUGGCGGACGGGUGAGUAAUGUCUGGGAAACUGCCUGAUGGAGGGGGAUAACUACUGGAAACGGUAGCUAAUACCGCAUAACGUCGCAAGACCAAAGAGGGGGACCUUCGGGCCUCUUGCCAUCGGAUGUGCCCAGAUGGGAUUAGCUAGUAGGUGGGGUAACGGCUCACCUAGGCGACGAUCCCUAGCUGGUCUGAGAGGAUGACCAGCCACACUGGAACUGAGACACGGUCCAGACUCCUACGGGAGGCAGCAGUGGGGAAUAUUGCACAAUGGGCGCAAGCCUGAUGCAGCCAUGCCGCGUGUAUGAAGAAGGCCUUCGGGUUGUAAAGUACUUUCAGCGGGGAGGAAGGGAGUAAAGUUAAUACCUUUGCUCAUUGACGUUACCCGCAGAAGAAGCACCGGCUAACUCCGUGCCAGCAGCCGCGGUAAUACGGAGGGUGCAAGCGUUAAUCGGAAUUACUGGGCGUAAAGCGCACGCAGGCGGUUUGUUAAGUCAGAUGUGAAAUCCCCGGGCUCAACCUGGGAACUGCAUCUGAUACUGGCAAGCUUGAGUCUCGUAGAGGGGGGUAGAAUUCCAGGUGUAGCGGUGAAAUGCGUAGAGAUCUGGAGGAAUACCGGUGGCGAAGGCGGCCCCCUGGACGAAGACUGACGCUCAGGUGCGAAAGCGUGGGGAGCAAACAGGAUUAGAUACCCUAGUAGUCCACGCCGUAAACGAUGUCGACUUGGAGGUUGUGCCCUUGAGGCGUGGCUUCCGGAGCUAACGCGUUAAGUCGACCGCCUGGGGAGUACGGCCGCAAGGUUAAAACUCAAAUGAAUUGACGGGGGCCCGCACAAGCGGUGGAGCAUGUGGUUUAAUUCGAUGCAACGCGAAGAACCUUACCUGGUCUUGACAUCCACAGAACUUUCCAGAGAUGGAUUGGUGCCUUCGGGAACUGUGAGACAGGUGCUGCAUGGCUGUCGUCAGCUCGUGUUGUGAAAUGUUGGGUUAAGUCCCGCAACGAGCGCAACCCUUAUCCUUUGUUGCCAGCGGUCCGGCCGGGAACUCAAAGGAGACUGCCAGUGAUAAACUGGAGGAAGGUGGGGAUGACGUCAAGUCAUCAUGGCCCUUACGACCAGGGCUACACACGUGCUACAAUGGCGCAUACAAAGAGAAGCGACCUCGCGAGAGCAAGCGGACCUCAUAAAGUGCGUCGUAGUCCGGAUUGGAGUCUGCAACUCGACUCCAUGAAGUCGGAAUCGCUAGUAAUCGUGGAUCAGAAUGCCACGGUGAAUACGUUCCCGGGCCUUGUACACACCGCCCGUCACACCAUGGGAGUGGGUUGCAAAAGAAGUAGGUAGCUUAACCUUCGGGAGGGCGCUUACCACUUUGUGAUUCAUGACUGGGGUG
rnacentral:rRNA from 1 species